rnacentral:rRNA from 1 species
UACGUAGGUGGCAAGCGUUGUCCGGAUUUACUGGGCGUAAAGAGCGCGCAGGCGGUCGUUUAAGUCGAAUGUGAAAGCCCCCGGCUCAACUGGGGAGGGUCAUUCGAUACUGAUCGACUUGAAGGCAGGAGAGAGAAGUGGAAUUCCCGGUGUAGUGGUGAAAUGCGUAGAUAUCGGGAGGAACACCAGUGGCGAAGGCGACUUCUUGGCCUGUUCUUGACGCUGGAGGCGCGGAAAGCUGGGGGAGCAAACGGG